GAUAGAAAUUUAAAAAUGAUGGUUUGAUGUGAUGGAUAACGAUCAUAUUUUUCAUUUUAAUGAGGUAAAAAUGGGCUCAAACAGGGGCUAAAUUAAAUUUUCAAAUUACACUCCCUUCGACAUUUCGUCUCUCCCUACUCGCAGUUCUCACAGCAAUUACCCAAAACUGGAGAGGUUUGAGUACGUCAAUCUUUCAACCAAUUAUGAAUCUUCGUAAUUGUCCCUACAAGUAUAUGCUACUGCAGAUUGCGUACUAAUUUUUGUCGUCUCUUCUGUUGGGCAGUUCCUUUAUUUGCAGUUCUAUAUGCGUAUAAUUAUCUCUUCACUAGGAGUUGUGAUGGAACAUUAAAGAGACGGGCAUUAGCUGAAGAUGUUGCUGCCUACUCUGCUACAUUCAAAUUGCUUGUGGAUUGGAUCCACUUGAUGUUCAAGGAAGAGAAAUUUGUGUACUGGCAUGAUGGUUGCUAUCUGGUGUAGCCUCUUUCAACCAAAUAUAUUACUAGUCAUCUUUGGAGUAUCCUAUUACUUCUGUUUCAUGUAUUGCUUUAUUGUGAGAGACUACUAAGGAGUAUCCUGUUUUUUCAAAUGUUCAAAUGUUGUGGGUGUGUGGUACCCAAUAUCUGGUUCUAAGAUUAUGAAGCGUAGAGGACACUGAUAAUAUAAGAGCACUGCUUUUGGAUUCAACUGGAAGGUUUGUUGUACUGAGUUUAGUUCAGUAAUGUUUGUGAUCUUUAUUAUACUUGGUAUUUCUUCUACUAUAUUCCUUUUUAUAUGCUCUGUAGUUCACAGUGUAUAUGAAGUCCUUUUUAGCUAUAGAUGCAGCUUCUAUUUGCACCCAUGUGAAGGUUCAAUUAUACGGGAUCCUUACAAAAGGAAAACAUAGCAUUCAUCAUAUUUUGAGAAUACAUAAAGUAAGAACUUUAUUAUUGUAGGGCUUAGUCUACUUUAUGCACACCUAGUAGAAAUACAUUUAAUUUAAGUUCAAUUGCAUUGAUGGUAAUUGCUCGAAUCCCAAGUAUGGAUUCUAUCAUCCUUCUCUUUCUUAACAUAGAUUGCAUUAUUCUAUCAUCCGAAAGUGUAUUAUUAUAUCAUAUGCAAACAUAGAUACUGAUCUUCUUUUAUUUUCGGUGAUAUCACAAUUCUUAACUAUUCGUUUUUAUUAUUAGCAAAGUGGGUAUUGAUCUUCUUUUGUUCUUCAGUCAUUGGAUGGACUAUUGGGAACACAAGAACGAACUUCUGCUUCAUCUUCUAUACUUCCAUUGCAGACUGUCUCUACACCUUCUGAUGUUCCUAAUGUCUCUAAUAAACAAGGGAUGCCCUGCAUACUCUUUCGGAAAGGGUGCUAUUUAAAAGGUGACUGGUGUCCCUUUUUGCAUGCAUCAAAUUCUGCAAAUUCAUUGAUCCAGUGAUACUGAUGAUGCAAGAUAUAGAGUAUGAAUGGAACAAAAGUCUAUAACUAGAUUUUUUUUAUUUUUUUAUUUUUUUGUCUGCACAUACCUUUUGUUCAUAAAGUCUAGGACACUUAUGUUACUAAAAAUAUAAGACAUCUUUUGUAAGGUAUAGGAUAGAUUUGGUGAGAUAUAUGACACAUUCUAUAUUAGGGUCUAUGAUAUGUUGUUGGAUAAAUAUACAAUGACAUUUUAAUUUAUGUAUUAACUAUUAGUAAUUGUUAUGUAUGCAAUCACAAUUAUUUUUUUGUA